GGAGAGGUGUCCGAGCGGUUUAAGGAGCUGGUCUUGAAAACCAGUGAUGCGGCAACGCACCGUGGGUUCGAAUCCCACUCUCUCCGCCA
rnacentral:tRNA from 1 species